UACGUAGGGAGCAAGCGUUGUUCGGAUUUACUGGGCGUAAAGGGCGCGUAGGCGGCCCGAUAAGUCCGCUGUGAAAGUCCAGGGCUCAACCCUGGAAUGCCAGUGGAAACUGUCGGGCUGGAGUCCGGAAGAGGCGAGUGGAAUUCCCGGUGUAGCGGUGAAAUGCGCAGAUAUCGGGAGGAACACCUAUGGCGAAGGCAGCUCGCUGGGACGUUACUGACGCUGAGACGCGAAGCGUGGGAGCAAACAGG
rnacentral:rRNA from 1 species